rnacentral:rRNA from 1 species
CCCCUAGAUGUUCUGGGCCGCACGCGCGCUACACUGAACAGUUCAACAAGUCUUAACCUUGGCCGAUAGGUCUGGGUAAUCUUUGAACGCUGUUCGUGAUUGGGAUAGACCUUUGCAAUUAUGGGUCUUCAACGAGGAAUUCCUAGUAAACGCAAGUCAUCAGCUUGCAUUGAUUACGUCCCUGCCCUUUGUACACACCGCCCGUCGCUCCUACCGAUUGAAUGAUCCGAUGAAUACCAUGGAUUGAGAGUACGAAUAGGUUCGCUUAUUUCUGCUGCUCGAGAAGUGGAGUAAAUCUUAUCAUUUAGAGGAAGGAGAAGUCGUANCA